CAAGCUGGUAAUGUGAUAACGUUCCCUAUAGCUGGUUUAUUGUGUCAAUAUGGUUUUAAUGGUGGUUGGCCGAGUAUCUUCUACGUAAUAGGUGCGUGUGGUUUCAUCUGGUUUCUAGCAUGGAUGAUUUUAAUACACGAUUCACCAGAACAGCAUCCCAGAAUAUCAGAAAAAGAGAAGAAAUACAUCACUAGUUGUUUAUCAGGAAAAAUCUCAAAUUCUAAGAUGAAGCGUUCUAUACCGUGGUUAUCUAUCUUAACGAGUAAAGCUGUCUGGGCAAUCAUCCUAGCCCAUACAUUAUCUAACUGGGGAACAGAUGUCUUCAUAACCAUGAUACCAACUUACAUGAAAGAUGUUCUCAAGUUUAAUAUUAAAAACAAUGGCGGUCUGUCUGCUUUACCUUAUAUAGGCUUAUGGGUGUGUAUGCUUCUGUCCAGUAAUUUGGCAGAUUAUGUAAGGAAAAGAAAACUACUAUCUCCGACAGUUACCAGGAAAGUUUUUAACACGACAGGUGAAAUAAUCCCUGCAGGUUUAAUGAUAGGAACAGGAUUUAUGGGUUGUAAUCAAUCGACGUAUGCCGUGGCGUUGUUGACAUUGGGAGUCACCAUGUCAGGUUUCCAAAAAGGUGGGGGGUUUCUGGUGAACUUUAACGAUGUCGCGCCACAAUAUGCUGGAAUUAUUUUCGGAAUUUCUAACACCUUGGCAACAAUACCAGGAAUAAUAGCACCAACAGCAGUUGGCGCCAUUACACCACACGGAACCCAGGCUGAGUGGCAGAUAGUGUUUUAUAUAACAGCGGGUAUAUAUGUUGUUGGAGCUACCAUCUAUUUGUUAAUGGGUAGCGGAGAAAUACAGAAAUGGGCCGUUAGUGAAAAAGAAAAUAUAGAAGUAUACGUUGUGAAAACAUCGGAUACCCUGGAGUAUUCUGGUGAAAACACCAAACUCUAGAUUAUAAUACAGAAUUAUACAUCGUGGAAUCAACACCCUGGGCUAUUCUCGUGAAAAUACAAAACUUUAGAUUCUAAUAUAGAAUUUUACGGCGUGAAAACAACAGAU